UACGUAGGGUGCAAGCGUUGUCCGGAAUUAUUGGGCGUAAAGAGCUUGUAGGCGGUUUGUCGCGUCUGCUGUGAAAUUUCGGGGCUCAACCCCGAACUUGCAGUGGGUACGGGCAGACUAGAGUGUGGUAGGGGAGACUGGAAUUCCUGGUGUAGCGGUGAAAUGCGCAGAUAUCAGGAGGAACACCGAUGGCGAAGGCAGGUCUCUGGGCCAUAACUGACGCUGAGAAGCGAAAGCAUGGGGGAGCAAACGGG
rnacentral:rRNA from 1 species